AUACGGAGGGUGCAAGCGUUAAUCGGAAUUACUGGGCGUAAAGCGCGCGUAGGCGGUUUGUUAAGUCGGAUGUGAAAUCCCCGGGCUCAACCUGGGACCUGCAUCCGAUACUGGCAGGCUAGAGUCUGGUAGAGGGGGGUAGAAUUCCUGGUGUAGCGGUGAAAUGCGUAGAUAUCAGGAGGAAUACCAGUGGCGAAGGCGGCCCCCUGGACUGAGACUGACGCUGAGGUGCGAAAGCGUGGGGAGCAAACAGGAUUAGAAACCCCAGUAGUCC
rnacentral:rRNA from 1 species